rnacentral:piRNA from 1 species
UAAGAUGGCUUCAACAAUUUCCCUGGAU